AUUGAACGCUGGCGGCAUGCCUAACACAUGCAAGUCGAGCGGAGCGGCGGACGGGUGAGUAAUGACUAGGAAUCUGCCUGGUAGUGGGGGAUAACGUCCGGAAACGGGCGCUAAUACCGCAUACUCUCAGAUGAGCCUAGGGCGGAUUAGCUGGUGGGGGUGGUAAAGGCCUACCAAGGCGACGUACCGUAACUGGUCUGAGAGGAUGAUCAGUCACACGGGAACUGAGAAAAGGUCCAGAAGCCGAAGGGAGGGAAGAGUGGGGAAUAUUGGACAAGGGGGGAAAGCCUGAUCCAGCCAUGCCGGGGUGGUGAAGAAGGGCUUCGGAAUGGAAAGCACUUUAAGUUGGGAGGCGUUACCCACAGAAUAAGCACCGGCUAACUUCGUGCCAGCAGGCGGGGGAAUUC
rnacentral:rRNA from 1 species